AUUACAGUACAGCUCAGUCAAGUUCAAUUGUGACAGUGUGACAUCAGGAUUUUAAUCAUGUUUAUUCUUCACAUAAUAAUCAGACUGUAGUAAAUAUUUAUUUUUACAAACAUGAAACUGACAGGUCCAAAACCAUCUUCUUUUAUUGUAGAUAUUGUGGAAAGAGAAUCAGGGAUGAUCCAGAGGCCAACAGUCACUAAGACCACAGGUACAACGUCUACGUAAUCCACAAAAUCCCUGCAUAUCAUUUAUGUAUUAAUUAAUUAAUUACUGAUAUUAAGACAUAUCAUAUUGACAAAAGCGUUAAUCAUAAAAUGUGAAUAUUUUUAUAAAAUGAUUGAAACAUACUUUAGUUUAUUCAGCAGGUCGGACUGUUGUCGUUUUUAAUGAUGAUUUUGUGUCUUUAUUGGUGUAACUCUCACUGCUGCAGGUAGUUUGACCUCAACUCACACAACUCUUAAGAAUCCAGCAUCUGAUGAUGAAAUAACAGCAGGUCGGACUGUUUCUACAUCAAGUGAAACUGAUAGUUCUGUCUCUACUUUCCUGACAUCAGUGAAACCAGAAAAAGGUAGUUUGACCUCUACUCAAACAACUCUUAAAAAUCAAGCAUCUGAUGAUGAAAUAACAGGUAAACCUAAUUCUUUUUUAAAUUUCACUUUGAAUAGUGCAUCAAAAUAC
rnacentral:lncRNA from 15 species